GACGAACGCUGGCGGCGUGCUUAACACAUGCGAGUCGAACGGAAAGGCCCUGCUUUUGUGGGGUGCUCGAGUGGCGAACGGGUGAGUAACACGUGAGUAACCUGCCCUUGACUUUGGGAUAACUUCAGGAAACUGGGGCUAAUACCGGAUAGGAGCUCCUGCUGCAUGGUGGGGGUUGGAAAGUUUCGGCGGUUGGGGAUGGACUCGCGGCUUAUCAGCUUGUUGGUGGGGUAGUGGCUUACCAAGGCUUUGACGGGUAGCCGGCCUGGGAGGGUGACCGGCCACAGUGGGACUGAGGUACGGGCCAGACUCCUACGGGAGGCAGCAGUGGGGAAUAUUGCACAAUGGGCGGAAGCCUGAUGCAGCAACGCCGCGUGCGGGAUGACGGCCUUCGGGGUGUAAACCGCUUUCGCCUGGGACGAAGCGUGAGUGACGGUAAUGGGUAAAGAAGCACCGGCUAACUACGUG
rnacentral:rRNA from 1 species